rnacentral:rRNA from 1 species
GAUCAGAAUGAAUCUUUCUCGGACUACUUACAAGGUGCUGCAUGUUGUCGUCAGCUCGUGCCGUGAGGUGUCAGGUUAAGUCCUAUAACGAGCGCACCCCUAUCGUUAGUUGCCAUCAAGUAAAGUUGGGAACUCUAGCGAAACUGCCGGUGCAAACCGAGAGAAGGUGGGGAUGACGUCAAAUCAUCACGGCCCUUACGUUCUGGGCUACACACGUGCUACAAUGGUCGGUACAGAAGCAGCCACUAUGCGAAUAGGAGCUAAUCUUUAAAACCGAUCUCAGUUCGGAUCGCAGUCUGCAACUCGACUGCGUGAAGCUGGAAUCGCUAGUAAUCGGAUAUCAGCCAUGAUCCGGUGAAUACGUUCCCGGGCCUUGUACACACCGCCCGUCAAGCCAUGGAAGCUGGGGGUACCUAAAGUCGGUGACCGAAAGGAGCUGCCUAGGGUAAAACUAGUGACUGGGGCU